rnacentral:rRNA from 1 species
CACGUAGGGGGCAAGCGUUUGUCCGGAUUUAUUGGGCGUAAAGAGCUCGUAGGCGGCUUAGUAAGUCGGGUGUGAAACCUCCAGGCUCAACCUGGAGACGCCACCCGAUACUGCUGUGGCUAGAGUCCGGUAGGGGAGCGUGGAAUUCCUGGUGUAGCGGUGAAAUGCGCAGAUAUCAGGAGGAACACCAGCGGCGAAGGCGGCGCUCUGGGCCGGUACUGACGCUGAGGAGCGAAAGCGUGGGGAGCAAACAGG